UCAAGCUUCAUUUUGCUCACGACGAGUGCGUUUUAAGAGCUUAAAGUUAGCAGGCUAGGCAUUUGGCAUGAUGACAAAGUUGUUUUGCAAAGAAGACCAAAAUGCACGUUUACAGAGACCUUAAGUUAACAUGUUGUAAGUGCAAUGUUUCACUGAAAUCCAGCUCCGUGUGCUGCAUGACUGAGAGACAUAGCCUACCGGUACAAACCUGUUUCCUACGAUGGUCCAGUCAGAUAUUUGUAAUGUAGGCUAUAAGGAUUCAAGUGUGUUUGAUACUUUUGCUGGUAAGCAUUGCAAUAAAAGAGGGAGCCGGAUAGUCAAUUCAAGCGGUCAGAUCAGAGAACCUUUAUUGAAAUCGGUUGGAACAAUCAUUCAUUUUGCCACUGUCGUGUUCUCCAUAGCUGGUGACGACAGUAGGCAAGACGGCCGCAGUUGACUUGAGACCGGAGACCGAAAUAUGGAUUUUGUAGGCUAUGUAUUCAGCGAUCCACAACGGGUAUACACAAGGAGGUCUACAUAAGUCAUUGGAUAUACACAACUAGUUGCUGAUCGGCGGCCCUUGUACGGAGGUUGUCACACACAGCCAACAAAACCACAUGGGCAACAUGGAAGAGCAAUUGCCAAAGCUUUUGGGCCUUUGCCUGGAUUUCAUCACACAGCAGCAAUAGGUCUCUAGGACUCUGGUUAGGUAGCCUGUAUACACUUUAUUUCUGGAAGGUGAUGUGGGUGUCAUGUUACUUCAGCAAGCAGCACAACGCAUACAGUUCAUAACAUUUCAUCCAGGCAAGUUUUUCUCAUUUUCAUUUAGGGAGCUGCCAAUCCCAAUAGUGGUAACACAAGUGCAGAGAUUUCAUGUAGACUAUGGAACUCAACUAAAGGGGUCACUAGUAACAUAAUGAUAACAGCAAUAGCAACACCACACGCACAAAGUAAAUUGAAUAAUUUUUGUGAUUCCAAAUGACCUAUUCUUGAUGAAGGCACAAUCUCUACAUUUCUUUGCUGUACAGGAAAAAUCAGGCAUACUGCAUAUCGGCAGUUGGUGAGAUGGCGUGGGAGUUCGUAGGCUAUGUUUGGGUUCCACUGCAAUCCUGUGCCGUCACAAAGAUCUGGCAGAUCUUUAAAUCCACACAUCGUACAGGUUUCCAGGAUGUGAUUUAUUUGUGGCAAAUAAAAGACAGUACACCUGAAUCA